UCGCUCCUCUGAAGACGGCCAAGGGAUGACAGGAAUUGUGUGAAGCGGAAGGACGGGAGAAUGUGAGCUCGCCGUGCGGGCAGGGUGCUUCCUGGAAGCCUGCCAAUUUCCAGAAGCACGGCAUUGCAGCAUGUCAAUAUGCCUGUUGCCACGGAAACAAGGACUGGCAUAGAGAUCCUUGUCGUUAGUCUUUGCUGCUUUUCCUUACAAAGACCCAGCAAAGUUGUGCUGUGGUUGUAUCGCUGCCUCUACUCAUUGGGCCGCAUUCAGCAAACGUUCCUAAGAACAAUUUUGUUCCUAGGCCCACUUAAGAAGUUUUUAAAGGGGAAAAUUAUCACCAGACCUAUGUAAGCGUCAAUAUAUACUUUGAUGUUGCAGAAAAAAGACCAUAUGUUUUUUUAACCGAUUUCCGAACUCUAAAAGGGUGAAUUUGGCGAUUUAAACGCCUUUCAAUUGUUCGCUGUCGGAGCAUUGACCUUUCACCCGUAACAGCACAACAGGAAGCAACCCGCCAUUUUCUCAAACACAUUACGCGUGCUUGCUAGACCUGCUAACUGGCACGGGAAUACUUCGGCAGCUACAUCCAGGGGCCUGUGAAGCAGGGGAGUAUAGUAGCAGCGGGGCCCGUCAACGGAGCAGACACCAGCGGUGUGAUCGGAAACGCGGAUGCCGAGCGGGGCUAAAAACAAAGCAGAAGGCUAAUCCCCACAGAACACAACUUCCCUUCAUCCUGAAGCCGGAUUUAAAUGGAAGAUGCGAGACUACUGGUCUGGAAAUGCUCCAGGGCCGCAUGCAGCUCCAGAGCCACGGGUUGCUGACCCCCGGUCUAUGUCAACAUUGAAACCUUGAUCUGAGCUGCCGUCGACUCCCCUGAGACAUGGCGUCAAGACACCCGUGGACGUACACCUCCGACUAUCAGUUUCCUGCAACACUAUUUUAAAGUGAAAACUGACAGCCUAUGGAACGGUAUAGAAAGUGGAUGGAUGGCUCUAUAAUGCCGCAAGAAGAGAAACCACAGUAUUUCCCCCACCAUUAUAUUUAGCAGGGAGGCCAGGCCUCCCAAUGACACCCCCUGCACCCUAAAAAGGCUUUUAUUUUUGUUUUGGUUUAAAUUUAAUUUUUUUAUACUGCACCGUAUCACAGACAUACGUAAAUUAAGGAUACCUCUAGUAGAUAACAUGUCCUUUUUUUAUUAAACCAACUAAAUAGCUUUUUUUUUUUUACACAAAACCAAUAAUGGAUAUCAUGCUUUGUGAAUCCAUAAUCGAUUGGUUGUGUCACGCCUAUGGUUCAUGUUUUGUUUUGGUCAUGUUAUGUUUAGUUUUUUGGACAUUCAGUUCUUGCGUUUGUACUUCCUUGUUUUCUUUGUCACCAUUGCUACUCAUUACUUUCCACCUUGUCUCCAAGUCACGCCCCGGUCCUCAGUUCUCACACCUGUUAAUCAUUAUCAUUGGUAUUAUUUAAACCGGUAGUUGCAAAGUGUUUAGUCUGGCAGCUUCACAUAUUCCUGAUAUUCCUCCAUGCCAUGCCAUGCCUAGUUUCCCUUCCGCUCAUGCCACGUAAGUUUUUGUUAUUCAUGCCACUGUGCAAGUUUUUGUUCCAUGUCAAUAGUCAUGCCAUUGUGCUAGUCUUCUUUUUUCAUGCCACAGUACAAGUGUUUUCUUUUCAUGUUUGUAGUUUGUAGCAUUUGUGCUAGUCUUUUGUUUUUUCAUAGCCAAGUGUUUGUACCUCCUUGUGAGCGCCCUUUGUUUGCCUUUUUUGAAUUAUAGUGUUAAUAAAUCAAAAUGUACCUUAAUUCACG